GCAUGUAACAGCCAACAGCCAACAACCAAGUGGAGAAGACAAGCUAGCUUGCAUUUUUAGCUAGACACAUUACAAGUAUGAGGAUUCUGAGAGGAUGUGUGCUGGGGACUGAGGGAGAAAGUUGGUUUAAUGUAGGCUACAGAGCAAACGUUGGUUAACCCUAGGGGAACGUUGUUAACCACAGGAAACGCCCUGGUAACCACAGAAUGGGGAUAUUAAGGAACCAGGGAGAGAUAUGUGAGACCUGCUAGCUGCCUAGCUAUAAACUAGCUGUGGAAACUCCAGCCACACGGAAAACUAGUAUCGAACUGUGAGCAGAGAGACGUGUGUCAUACUUCAGGUUAUCCAUCUGAAACUUUGCACAUCCACUGCUGCCAUCUUGUGGACACUAUCAGAAUUACAACCAGAGUGAUGAUGACUGGAGGAACGCGGACGCCAGUUGCCAUGAGUUACUGAGAGCAGAACUGCGACUGCUUCCUCUCAGCGCCAAGAUGGAGGCCUUUAUCUACCAAAAGAAACCUGGAGUAGCUUGUUCCUGCAGUCUGGGCGUGUCCACCACCGUGACCGUUCCUAGAAGCCACACCUUUCACUCCUUAUCCAAUCAGAGCCCUGACCACGCCCAGGAGGAGGAGGAAGGGUCGCCACGGCAACGGCGCAUCACAGUUGCAUCAUUCAUGCCACAGUCUAAUGACCAGAAUGGAAACUUCCCAGAGAAGAAUUCGGACAGACAGAGGGGUAAACCUCUAGGAGAGUUGAACACAGAAGAAGUCUGCCGGUGGUUCAGCACUAUCGGCCUUCAGAAGAGACUCCAGUUCAUCAGAGAGGCAGAGCUAUGUGGGGCUGAUAUAGCCUCCAUAGACCUCAACACCCUCGAUGUCCUUCACAUCUCCAGCCUGCAGGAGAGAGAGCAGCUUUUGUCAGCCGUCUACAGAGAACUGCACCCACCAUCCACAACCUCACAGAGACUGGACUUACUACUGGAAACCUUGGGUCCUAAUAACGUAGAGAAAUUCACAGCAGCAUUAGUGAAUAUGAGCAAAUCGAAGUCCUCUCCGCAAAUAAGCUGCCUCAACAUUAAUCCAAUGAAUUCCUUCAAGUUCAAGUAUGUAUGUCUACCAAUUAUCAGGACUAACCCAUAAUUCUAUUCUAUAUUGUAAAUAUAUAUUUCCUUUGUUUCUUUUGGUUGCUGCCUGUAAUGGAUGCCAAAGCCCUAACCCUUUGGUCCAGAGGAACUCUCAGCUGAUGGAGACCACCAUAAACGCGUCGGAGCAGAUUGUGCACCUGCGUACCCCCAGAGAGACCACAGUGGGGAAGGUGAUGGAGUCGUGUUUUACGAUGCUGGGAAUGACUGAUAAUAAGGACCUCUUCAGCCUCACCGACAAACGAGGUUCUUCAGAGGAGCUGAUACCAGACCAACAUAUAACAUAUAACAAAAAGGAGGAGACAUCUAAAAGCGUAAGCGAGGCCCCACCCACUGGUGUUAACGGUUACCGUGACAACGGACAUGUCAGUCAGAACCACCAGAUGCAGCCUGUCAGCUCACGGCCGAUACAGGUGGUCAGCCAGCCAGGUAAAGAGGAAAAGAUCCGGGAGCUCAAACAACAGGUGGACUCUCUACAAAACGUCAUCCUACAGGUGCAGGAGAUCCACCACGGCCUGGUAGCAUUCUGUUCGGAGCUGAAGAGCAUGGAUGUAGAGGUGGACACGUCAGGGCUGAGCUUCCCUGAGCUGGAGCAGCGCCUGGGGCUGGCUAUGGGACUGCUCAGGGACAAGAGACACAGUCUACAGAGCCUCAGAGAGACCAUGAGAGAUACAGGCGCUCACAGGAACAAGCCGUCAGAGGUUUGUCUUCUGGAUACGAUGAAGUUGAACUGUCAGGUGUUUAAAGAAGAGAUCUCCCUGGUUUACCUCAACAGACAGGUGUCACAUCUACAGACAGCUCUACAAGACAGCCUAGUAAAGGCUUGUGGAGGUGAAUGGGGUACUGGUGAUGGGGUACAGUGAAGAGGAGCUGAGCCCCCUACUCCGCCAGGGACCAAGUGCUCGGAUAGUCAUCCUGAGUAGACCUCCUCCUCCUCCUCCUCCCAGCCCAAGAGACAGAAGACCCCUUCCUCUUUGAAGCAACAUCCUCCAUUAGUAUACACCUAGUACCACCAGGCAAUCCCAUCAAGCAUGACAUUGACACCCAAUAGACACCAGGCUGAUCCCAUCUACCAAGAGACUGACACCCUAUUGACCACCAGGCUGAUCCCAUCUACCAUGAGUUUUGACACCCCAUAGACACCAGCACAAUGAGCAUCAGGAACCUGAGGUCUCCACUGAGCCCCUCUCUACUCUACCAGC
rnacentral:lncRNA from 1 species